AAUCAACGCUGGCGGCGUGCCUCAGACAUGCAAGUCGAACGAUUAAAGCUCUCUUCGGAGAGUGCAUAAAGUGGCGCACGGGUGAGUAACACGUAAGUAAUCUACCUUCGAGUGGGGAAUAACAUCGGGAAACCGAUGCUAAUACCGCAUAAUGCAGCGGCAUCGCAAGAUGACAGUUGUUAAAGAUUUAUCGCUUGAAGAGGAGCUUGCGGCAGAUUAGCUAGUUGGUAAGGUAAUGGCUUACCAAGGCUACGAUCUGUAACCGGUCUAAGAGGACGGUCGGUCACACUGACACUGAAUAACGGGUCAGACUCCUACGGGAGGCAGCAGUCGGGAAUUUUGGGCAAUGGGCGAAAGCCUGACCCAGCAACGCCGCGUGAAGGAUGAAGUAUUUCGGUAUGUAAACUUCGAAAGAAUAGGAAGAAUAAAUGACGGUACUAUUUAUAAGGUCCGGCUAACUACGUGCCAGCAGCCGCCGUAAG
rnacentral:rRNA from 1 species